rnacentral:rRNA from 1 species
UACGUAGGUCCCGAGCGUUGUCCGGAUUUAUUGGGCGUAAAGGGAACGCAGGCGGUCUUUUAAGUCUGAUGUGAAAGCCUUCGGCUUAACCGGAGUAGUGCAUUGGAAACUGGGAGACUUGAGUGCAGAAGAGGAGAGUGGAACUCCAUGUGUAGCGGUGAAAUGCGUAGAUAUAUGGAAGAACACCAGUGGCGAAAGCGGCUCUCUGGUCUGUAACUGACGCUGAGGUUCGAAAGCGUGGGGAGCAAACAGG